AAACAUUAACUCAUUCGGCACAAGACUCAGGUGGAGAGAGUCAGUAUGUAUUUUGCUUUGCCUCCAUCUUGCACUGAGAUUUUCUGGGACCGGCUCACUAGGACAGAGUUUCUGUUCCUCUGAUUAGCUUGCCAGACAAUCUCCCCCUCUAGCGGCCCCCUGGUCUCCCCUGGUGCUGCAAGUUGUAAUUGUUUCAUUUAACCAGCCUUGCUUUACAGUUCUCUCAUGAGCUGAGUGGCUUUUUUGGCUUGUAUUAGCAUUUGAGAACCGAAGCUACCGUGUGUGGUGCUUUGUUUGCCAUGAGACCUCUUCUGGUAGGAGGCCAUUAAGCCCUUUGGUAGGUUUUCCUCUCAAAAGCCAUCUCCCAUCCUCUAUCUGAAAAGGGGUGACUUCCCCACCCUUUAUGUCUCACCUCUCGUUAGACAAUGCUGUGUGGGAACUGAGCUUGUAGACUGGAUGAUGCAGCAGACACCAUGUGUUCACUCCCGGACUCAAGCUGUUGGCAUGUGGCAAGUCCUGUUAGAAGACGGUGUUCUCAACCACGUGGACCAGGAGCACCAUUUCCAAGACAAAUAUUUAUUCUAUCGAUUUCUGGAUGAU
rnacentral:sRNA from 1 species